rnacentral:ncRNA from 1 species
GCGUUGAAGCGGGAGGUUGCAGCUUUCCGGCUGGUUUUUCCGUGGAGUAUGUCCGAUUUUAAACCGGGCG